CUUGGGGGGAGCAGGGUCCCUCAGCCCAGAUUGUGAGAGGCCAGGCUGAGGGACCCCACCAGUGCACG
rnacentral:pre_miRNA from 1 species